UCCUUUUUCCAACGUCUCGGUGUACCAACCUGAAAAAGAAGGUUUGGACAAAUCUAAGGAAUUUUUAAUAGGGGUAGGAUCGCCAGCCCAAAUCUGCUUUUUGAUCUGGUACACAGUGUCAAGAUUCUAGAAUGAAUCCCAGUUGGGAAGGUAACAUAAACCACAUUCUGAGAAAGGAGACAACCAGGCUGGCUGAUGGCGUAGUGGCAUCAGCGCUGGACUUCGGAGUGAAGAUUCCUGAAUCCAGCCGGCUCCAAAAACCUGGAGAGGGAUGGACUCAGCCAGGUUUCAGAUGUCCAAGACAUGACGUAUAACGAGCAAUCAUCAAAAAGAUCAGUGCAAAAAGCUUGUCAUGAUAGUGCCCCGGCGACUCCGCCAGGAGUUAAGGGUACACACACACACACACUCAAAUGUCCUGAAACAUUAGCUAUGAUGGCGUGCACACAGAUGCUGCUUGAUUUUUGUUCUAAUUUUAGAUUUCCAGCAUUUGCAGUAUUUUUCUUUUGAGUUAUAUUUUAAACUGAAUCUCUAAGCUUGAUGUUUCUCAUAAUUAUUCAUGAGGAUCAUUGAAUGUGGUUGGAACAUGGAAUAUUCCCACUUUAUAUGGAUUCUGAAUGACACUGGUAAAUUUUGUGCUCCUUAACUUUAAAAAUGCUUAAGAUAACACAAAAUUUUAUGCAAUACUUUUCACUAAUGUCUGUUAUAGUGAAGUACGUAGAUACAAAUUAGUAGCAGGAUUAGGCCACUUGGCCUCCCAUGGAUGAAAUCCGUCAGCUUCCAAAGACUUGUCAAGUGUGCAGCUCCAAAAAUGAUGAAUUUUCCUUCAUUCCUUCCAAUUCUGAAAUAUUCCAAGAGCUAUUUUUGUAAUGUAACUUCUAUCUUUUACAGGAAGACUGAUGCAAGCUACCAGUCAUUUGGUUCCUCUCUUAAAAUUCCAAUUCUCUCCAAAGGACUCCUUUUUGAUGGCUCCACUUUUCACCCUGCCUAUCAACUAACACGUUAUUUAAAUCUCUUCCUUGUGUGUUGCCAGAGGGCAGCAAAAUCAUUAUUUGUGGAUUAGCCUAAUGACAAUGGACUCUACCUUCGCUACUGGAAACUCAGGAAUUGCAAGGCUUUUCUUUGCACAUUAGUUCACAAUGCUGUACCUCCUGGUUUUACAUGAACUAAAAUUCAUAACAUAAUUGAAUUAAGCAAAACUAAGGAAAAUCAAAACUUGGUGGUACAACUGAGCAGUGUUUAUCCCCUUCAAGGAGGAUGGAUAAAGUGCUCAUAACUGAAGUUAGAAAGUAAUAAAGCAAUUGCAGCAGACUUGAUAUCUCAAGCAGGCAGAUCAUUAAACCAGAAUAGUUCAAUAGAUUAGCAUACAAAUUAGGAACAACAAACGAUCUGCUGGAAGAAAUCAGCGGAUCAAGCAGCAUCAGUGGGGAGAAAGGAACAGUUUCGGGCUGAAACCCUGCAUCAGGUCUGAGUGGAGGGGGAAGAUAGAAGUAUACAGAGGAUACAGAUACCAGGGGUAACAAACACAAAAUGCUGGAGGGAAUCAGUAAGUCAGGCAGCACCUAUGGAGGGAAAUAUACAGAAGUUUCGGGCCAAGACCCUUCAGAAAUUACUGGUGGACUGGGAGGGUUGAAGGAUGACAGAUGGAGUCAGAUAGGGGUGUGGGAGGAGUGCAAUUAGGAAACAGAGGCAGGUGGUUUAUAGAUAAAGGCAAAAUAAGAAGGCAGAUAGGGGCUAGCUUGGGGGAGUGGUGUGGUAGGGUGAAGAUGGUCAGAGCUAGGAGCGUAAUGAAAAUGAACACAAAUACUACUAAUGCUGGAAUCAGAGAGGUAAGGAGAGUGUUAAUGUGAGCUAUUGGGAGAGAGGUGAAAGACACGCAAGACCAAGAAUGAGAUUUGCUGGUUCUUCCUAUUCAACAAUAUUUGAUCCACAACCAGGGGAUCUUACAGGCAACCCUGAUUGAGAAAUAACAAACAGCUCACUGGUAUUGAAACUUAAUGUCCACAAAAUCAUAAUGAU